GGCAGCUUAAUUUUUCUUUCCUUUGCUUUGCUAGUUGCUCUGAGAGUCUGAAGCAAGCAAUUAGAAGUUCGAAGUUCAAGCUUCGAAGUGGAACUCCAGAAUUCUUCCACGAAGCUGCCGCUGCCAUUGAAGGCUUGAAGCUUUGUUGCCGUUAAGCCACCGAAGCCAGGUAAGCCAAUGAAGCCUUGCUCUGAGAGUCUAAAUGCUUGAACUUGAAGCUUUGUUGCUAGUACUGUGAAGAAUUUUAUAUACUUUUUUAGUUAAGACAAGCACUGUCUUAAAAAAAAAUGCAGAAUACUAGUACUGUCCCUCUAUUUUUUUGACUUGAAAUUGCAGAAUUAUGAGUAAGUAUAUAUGUUAAUCUUAUCUAGAUCUAUCAUUGGGUCCCCUAAUAGCAUUAAUUUGACUAUCCAUUCGAGCUGAAUCGGGAAGAAAACAAAUUGCAGUAGGAUGAAGUUCUUUCAUUGAGGAGUUGGCUGGUUUUAAUCAUUCGUGUAUUUGACAAAGGUGAAAGUGCCACGUACGGGAGUCAGGCUUGUCUUUGUGGACUAAAUGGUAAACCCAAAAGAGUUGAUAUAUUACAAUAACCAGUGAGAUAUGUGGAGACCUUACCAAACCUAUACCAAACAAUUAGCAUCAUGCGGCAAUGCCAAGUUGACAAAAUGUUAGUACAUAAAUGAAUCUACCAUGAAAAUUUUUUGUUUUCUUUCUUUUGUUUUCUUCUUAAGUUUAAGAGAAACUUUAAAUUGUUAAUGAACUAAGAAUUGGUCUAAAAAAAGUUUAAAACUUGCAAGAACUAGGUUUGAUUUUAAGAUUCUCAAAUUAUAUGUUCGAGAUAUCAAGUUAUUAUCAACUAAUUAUCAAGUUAUUCUCAAAUUAUAUUACACAGCUUCCCUGUGUAAUCACCACUGAAGGUGGAACGCAUCAAAGCUUCCAUGUGUGUCAAUUACAAUCAUUUCUAACAUGUUUGAAUCAGUUAGAUACAAACUCGAAUGGAUUGCUUGAUUUUGAGGAGUUUGGGACUAUGAUGGUUUUCCAGUUCUUGAUGGUCAAAAAAUUAAUUAGCAAUUGUUUCUUCCUACCGCUAAAGAAAUCUUAUCAUUUCAUUAUAUGCGUGUGUACAUAAAUUUGUGAUUUUGGGAUGAAUUUUAUUGCAUUAAGAUUUAAUGAACCAAUAUAUUCUUUGGUUUCUCCAGUUCCUUUUUUGAUACAUAUAAUGACUUGCUGGUAGAAGGCACGAUAUCAUUGCUAAAAAUUUCAAGAAAUCAUAUUGGACCAAAUUUGGACCAAAUUUCGUUUUUGGCUAAAUAUUAUCCAAAUUUAGUGAAUGAUUCAUUGAUUUUUGUACUUAUGUAGAUGAAACUCUAAAUUUGGAUGAUUUGGACACUGGAGAUGAAGAUGAGACCAAUAAUGAAGAGAAUGUGGAAAGAAAUGUUCUUAAUGUGGGCUGUGAUGUAAAUGAACUUAGUGGUACUGAAUUUGGCAGAAGUUGGGAACCAUGGGCAUGAAUAAUAGAUGGAGUGAACUACUCAAGUGAUAAUUGUGGUGUUGUUUAUGUUCAUGACUUUAUGUUUGGUUGUAUUGAAUUUGUCGUUUAUGACUUAUGUUUCAUGGUUUGAUACUUAUAUUUAUGUGUGUGAAAUGAAUUAUGAACUAUGAAC
rnacentral:lncRNA from 1 species